AUCUAGCAGACAAGUCCCGAUUAGGACGAAACGCGCGUCCUGGAU
rnacentral:hammerhead_ribozyme from 1 species